rnacentral:lncRNA from 1 species
CAGAAACUUGCGGCUGUGUCCGCCGCUGAGCGUGAUUGUGGGCAACUGGACUGACGGUGAAACUUGGGCGGAUUAGGCAGAGGUUGGAACCUUUAGGGAAGCUGUUUGGGCCUAUUACACUGCUUAGCUAAUUAACCUGAUCCCGUAAGCAGCAGAAAAGGCAGCAUAGCUCCGCCCUCAAUGUGGGACCCGCCUGUGGCAUCCUGGGAUCUGGGGUUUGUGCGGGGAGACAGUGCAAACUCCUUCUCUAGAGCCAAGCUAUCGUGCACGCUCCAGAAAGUCCCUCUAACUGGGCUCCAAGCUUGUCCCCCGUGUCGCUAAGGUUGCCAAUGUCGAUGGCAAGGUUGCCUUUGCUGAUGGCCACAGAGGUGUGCUGGGACUUUACCCCUUUCCUUGACCUGGGUCGCACUUUUCGGUGAGCUUUAUACCAUACUCUCCACUCUCCCAAGACUGUAUCUUACAGGGUUCUUGUCUCUAACUUGCUGGGUUCCAAAAUCACUCACCUCAAAAUUCAGCUUUUAAUUGUUAUGCUGGUGCUUCUUUGUGAAAGAGGUGAGUGCUGGGCACCUCUGUAUGACUAUCUUGCCCUCUGACUCUAAAUGUGUG